AUGGUUAACUCCUUGUGGGCUAGAGAUGUGUGUAUCUUAAAAACUUACUGCUCUCAGAGCCUCGAGCUGCUGACCAUUAAAGUCAGGCCUUUUUACCUCCCGAGGGAGUUCAGCUCAGUUCUCCUCUCAGCUGUUUACAUUCCACCACACGCUGAUAAAGCUACGGCUAUGGACGAACUGUAUGACAUCAUCACUGGACUUGAGAACAAAAAUCCAGAAGCUGCCUUUAUUGUGCUGGGAGACUUCAACAGAGCCAACAUGAAGAAGGUUCUCCCCAAAUACUAUCAGCACAUCUCCUUCCCCACAAGAGGUGAUCAAACACUGGACCAUUGUUACACUCCAUUCAAAGAGUGCUACAAACCCCUCCCCCGCCCAGCUUUUGGUAAGGCAGACCAUUGUUCCAUUCUGCUGCUGCCUGCAUACAGACAAAGACUAAAACAGGAAAAACCAGCUUCCAGGGUUAUUUACAAAUGGGACAGUGAGGCUGAGGAGGUCCUGCAGGACUGCUUUGAGACAACUGACUGGCAGAUAUUUGUGGAUGCAGCUGAUGGCAACAUCAAUGAACUCACAGACUCUGUCAUUGGAUAUAUUGGAAAGUGCAUGGAUGAUAUCAUCACAAAAACCACUGUCCGCAUAUACCCAAAUCAGAAACCCUGGGUAAAUAAAGACGUUCGCGCCAAGCUAAAAGUGCGGACCUCUGCCUUUAACUCCGGGGAUGCUGAUGCAUAUAAAGCAGCCAGGUAUGACCUCCGUAAGUCCAUAAAAAAGGCCAGAAAGGACUACAGGGACAAAAUGGAGUCCAGCUACCACAGCUUUGACACCAGGCGACUGUGGAAUGGACUGCGCUGCAUCACUGACUACAAGAAGGCCAACGCAGUCAGUGUCCAGCCCACUGCAUCUCUCGCAGACGAGCUUAACAACUUCUAUGCUCGUUUUGAUGCAGACAACAGAGAGCAGAUCCUCUACCCUCAGGAGGACAGUGAGGCUGCAACUUUAACUCUGAAAACAGAAGCUGUGAGAUGGACCUUUAAAAAGGUCAAUCCUCACAAAGCUCCAGGACCGGACGGCAUCCCAGGCCGGCUACUCAGAGUGUGUGCAGACGAGCUGGCACAGGUGUUCACCAACAUCUUCAACCUCUCCCUGAGGCAGUCAGUGGUCCCCACGUCCCUCAAAGCAUCCACCAUCAUUCCCGUUCCCAAAAAAUCAGUGGUCUCCUGUCUGAAUGACUACCGUCCUGUUGCACUGACAUCCGUCAUCAUGAAGUGCCUGGAGCGGCUGGUCUAA
rnacentral:lncRNA from 1 species